GACGAACGCUGGCGGCGUGCUUAACACAUGCAAGUCGAACGGAAAGGCCCUGCUUUUGUGGGGUGCUCGAGUGGCGAACGGGUGAGUAACACGUGAGUAACCUGCCCUUGACUUUGGGAUAACUUCAGGAAACUGGGGCUAAUACCGGAUAGGAGCUCCUGCUGCAUGGUGGGGGUUGGAAAGUUUCGGCGGUUGGGGAUGGACUCGCGGCUUACCAGCUUGUUGGUGGGGUAGUGGCUUACCAAGGCUUUGACGGGUAGCCGGCCUGAGAGGGUGACCGGCCACAUUGGGACUGAGAUACGGCCCAGACUCCUACGGGUGGCAGCAGUGGGGAAUAUUGCACAAUGGGCGGAAGCCUGAUGCAGCAACGCCGCGUGCGGGAUGACGGCCUUCGGGUUGUAAACCGCUUUCGCCUGUGACGAAGCGUGAGUGACGGUAAUGGGUAAAGAAGCACCGGCUAACUACGUG
rnacentral:rRNA from 1 species